rnacentral:rRNA from 1 species
UACGUAGGGUGCGAGCGUUAAUCGGAAUUACUGGGCGUAAAGGGUGCGCAGGCGGUUAUAUAAGACAGAUGUGAAAUCCCCGGGCUCAACCUGGGACUGCGUUUGUGACUGUAUGACUAGAGUACGGUAGAGAGGGGUGGAAUUCCUGGUGUAGCAGUGAAAUGCGUAGAUAUCAGGAGGAACAUCGAUGGCGAAGGCAGCCCCUUGGACCUGUACUGACGCUCAUGCACGAAAGCGUGGGGAGCAACAGG